rnacentral:sRNA from 1 species
GUGUCUGUUCUUAAAGUCAAGUUACAUGAAACACUUGGACUGGCCGCAGGCAAACAGAAACUUCAGUAUGAGGGCAUGUUCAUCAAGGAUUCCAACAGCUUAGCUUUCUAUAAUUUCCUGAACGGUGCCACAGUUCAACUGCAGUUGAAAGAGAGAGGUGGGCGCAAGAAGUAGAUCAUAUUCAGCUCAGUGGAGGCCUCAGCAAACUUGUGUUAGACUGUUGUUGUUUUUUUUUGUUUUUUUUUUGCUAAUAAAUAUUUAAAAUUUUCA